rnacentral:sRNA from 1 species
AACAUUUUCUGUAAUUCAUACAUGUGAGUGAAAAAAAAUUACUGUUGUUUAUUCUCCCUUAAUUGAUGUACAUAUAUACAGUAUUUAGAAUAAUUUUCAAAUCUUACAGGAAAUUUGCACUAUUAGUUUAGUGAAUUUGGGAGGUUUACGUGUGAAAGAAAUAUAGGGUCCACACAGUAGCAGUGAUAGCAACUCAUUGUGUUUCAGUUGCCAUUUUGUGUUGUUAGGUUUUGAUUGAGAGAGAAAAUUUAAUUGUAAAAUUUGUUACUCUUUUUGAAGGAAUUUAAAGUCAUAUGUAUUGAUAUGUUUAUUGUAUAACUUGUAACCUUCUUUCAUUCUGUGCAAUACAAAUCAUUUUGUAGUUGAACAUCGUAAUGUUAGUAAAUUAGUGAGACUACAUGCAGUGCUGAGAAAGAAUUGGUGCAUUAUUAGAGUGUUGUUUUUUGGUCCAUGUACUUCUCUCCGAGGUACUGGUAUAUAUUGAUUCUAUGUACAGAAGACUUCUCUGAAAGUUGUGGUGACUGAGCUUGUAUUUGAACAGCUUUUUACCAAUAUCUUGAAUUAAACUUUUUCUCUGGAUGAAAUUGUAGCAGUCAUAUCAAUGAAAUCGCCUUCUUCCAUUGCUUGAACAAAGUUAAUAUGUUUAGAACGAUAAUUCCCUACAGUGUUAAUAUGAAGCAUUAAUAGGAGUGGACUGAUCGAGUUGUUGGUGAAAUUUAUCAAUGUAUGAAUGUUGUUUUAUCUGGUAUAGAAUGUUGUUCUAUUUGGAAUAGUAUAUUGUUAGUUUUUAUUCAUGUUUAUUGUUGAAGUCUGGAAAAGAAAACGCAUAGAAUAUUGCAUGUCUUAAGAUACAUAUUUAUAUUUUAAUUCUCUUCUUUUGAUAUAUACAGGGCUCAAAAUUUCUAGUUAAAAAAAUGCACACAGUCUACUUGGAGAUGUAGAGAGCUUUGCAGAUUGUGUUUUACUGUUUAUCAUGGAAACUUAUUUUUAUACCUUGUCUAAUUAUUAUAAUAUUAUUAUUAUAAUUACCAUAGAUUGUUUCUGAAGUGGUGAAUUGUUAUUGUUAUAUGAUUUUAUGUUUGUUAGAAAUGGAGGCAAGUCUGUGUUUUCUGUGAUAUUUGGAUUAAAUUAAGGAGCUUGAUUUCCUGUCAUAGGCAGUCAUUAUAGAAUCUUUAUUUUGUUUGUUUUGCCGAGGUUUUGUCCUGCAAUGUCGAAUGAUUUGUAUAUUUCUCAUGUUGUAUGUAUGUUUUGUGUAGUUCAUUACAAUAUCAUUGUUGAAAAAAGUCUUUGUUAUAGAUGUAUCUUCUCACUCUUGUAUUUUUAAGGAUAUAAAAAAUAAAUGAAUAAAUUUCAAAAAUUG